CAAAUUAGAGCUUGUUAGAAAGUUUUUUACUUACAUUAAAAAGUUAGUUGUGUGAAUCAAUUUAAUUUGA
rnacentral:tRNA from 1 species